UGUUUUUGAAAUGCGGGCUUUUAUUUUGAACGUUUCAUCAUUACCAUAGGAAAGUGACGUCGUUGUUAGUGUUGCUAGCAGAGUGGUAGUGCAGCUUCCUUACAUAGGGUCUUCAUAAAAAAAUAACCAUGGCGGCCACUGAAAUAGCUAGGCAAGCGGGAGAAGGUGCUCGUGCCGUCCCUCUAGCCGGCCAUGUCGGCUUUGAUAGCAUGCCCGACCAGCUGGUCAACAAGUCUGUCAACCACGGCUUCUGCUUCAACAUCCUCUGUGUCGGGGAAACGGGCCUGGGCAAGUCCACUCUUAUGGACACCCUGUUCAACACCAAGUUCGAGGGCGAGCCCACCCAGCACAAUCAGCCGGGCGUGCAGCUCAAGUCCAACACAUACGAGCUCCAAGAGAGCAACGUGCGCCUCAAGCUGACCGUGGUCAACACUGUGGGCUUUGGAGACCAGAUCAACAAAGAGGACAGCUACAAGUCCAUUGUUGAGUUUAUCGACACCCAGUUCGAGGCCUAUCUGCAGGAGGAGCUGAAAAUCAAGCGCACGCUACACAGCUACCACGACACGCGCAUCCAUGCCUGCCUGUACUUCAUUGCGCCCACCGGACACUCCCUCAAGUCCCUGGACCUGGUAACUAUGAAGAAACUGGACAGCAAGGUCAACAUCAUCCCCAUCAUUGCCAAAUCAGACGCCAUCUCCAAGAGCGAGCUGACCAAGUUCAAGAUCAAGAUCACCAGUGAGCUGGUCAGCAACGGCGUUCAGAUCUACCAGUUCCCCACCGAUGACGAGACGGUGGCAGAGAUCAACUCCACCAUGAACGGCCAUUUGCCGUUCGCCGUUGUGGGAAGCACGGAGGAAGUAAAGAUCGGCAACAAGAUGGUGAAAGCGCGGCAGUACCCCUGGGGAACGGUGCAGGUGGAGAAUGAGAACCACUGUGACUUUGUGAAGCUGCGGGAGAUGCUGAUCCGGGUAAACAUGGAGGACCUGCGGGAGCAGACACACACGCGCCACUAUGAGCUCUACCGCCGCUGCAAGCUGGAGGAGAUGGGAUUCAAGGACACGGACCCCGACUGCAAACCCUUCAGUCUGCAGGAGACGUACGAGGCCAAGAGGAACGAGUUCAUGGGUGACCUGCAGAAGAAGGAGGAGGAGAUGAGGCAGAUGUUCGUCCAGAGAGUCAAGGAGAAGGAAGCCGAACUGAAGGAGGCCGAGAAAGAGCUGCACGAGAAGUUUGACCGGCUCAAGAAGCUGCACCAGGAUGAGAAGAAGAAGCUGGAGGACAAGAAGAAAUCCCUGGAUGACGAGCUCAACGGCUUCAAACAGAAAAAGACGGCCGCCGAGCUCCUACAGUCCCAGGCCCAGCAGGCAGGGGGCUCCACCACACUCAAGAGGGACAAGGAGAGGAAAAAUAUCAGGCUGCAGUAGGAGGGCCGUGUUGACAGUUAGAGGUUGUUGUCGUGGGUCCCUUCAUGUUGGUAAUCGCUCCUGGUUGUCUAUUCAAACUGAUGCGAGCCCUGCCACCUGCCCUGUUAGAAAGGAUGAAGACACUUGCACUGAGAAAGUUAACUCCUCCCCCCACUUGCUGCAUGCUGCAUGAAACAUCUUGUCCUGCUUCUUUUAAUCUGUCUUGGCCACCUGUCUGAAGAGGGGAUUGCAGCUUCAACAAGAACUAAGCACCCAUUUCCUCUUCCUGUCUUUUCUCACUGCAUCAACCUUUUUUUUAACUUCCAUCUCAUCUGCUUUGUUGAACAUGGCCGUAUGUGGACUUCACAUGGUAUUUUUUGGAUAGUUUACCUUUUGCCACCUAAUCAAGGUACACUUUGGCAAGUGGGAGUCCUUCACUGAUAAUAUUUUUCAGAUCUGUCUUGGUGUAUGAAUGAACAAAGCUUUGUUCAGGUGCUCAGGUAGGAUUCUAAACAGUUGUUCAAGAGAAAAACAUCAAACCAAUAGUUUCAUCAUACCAUUUGUGGCAGAGCCAAGGCUCUGGAUUAAUUUAUAUUUUGCAUAAAACGAUCAGAACUUAAUUGACAGUACAUUUUAAGAAAGUCUUUAUGUAAUAACAUUCAAUCAGUCCAUUUUGAGAAGGACUCUGUUUUGAAAUAACCAUUACAAAUAGCCUAUUAUAAAUGUGCUCAUCAUUCAAAGGGGGGGGGGGGGGUUAUGAUUUUUAUUUAUUUAACUAGGCAAGUCAGCUAAGAACAAAUUCUUAUUUACAAUGACGGCCUACCCCGGCCAUAGCCUAACCCGUACGACGCUGGGCCAAUUGUGCGCCGCCCUAUGGGACUCCCAAUCACGGCCAAUUGUGAUACAGCCUGGAAUUGAACCAGGGUCUGUAGUGACACCUCUAGCACUGAGAUGCAGGGCCUUAGACUGCUGCACCACCCGGGAGCCCCUAUGAACACAAAUAGCACAACCCAGAUCUCAAUAAAGCACUGAUAAACCCGCCAUAUUUAUUUGGUGAUUGAUAGUGCGACGUCUUACCUUGCGUGUGAGUAGUAGGAACUUUUGUCAAUACGGAUUUAAAAACCAUAGGACAAUUGCGAUCCAAAUAAAUACAUAAUUCUUUGUUCACUGCAUAGGUUGUUUCAUUGGAACUCAGAAGAGCCAAAGACAUGUUCAUGUCAAGCACUUAUUUAGUGAAAACACCUUUUCCGUACUGAAAUGCCAUGUAGGUUGCAUUUAAUGCCCUUUACGCAUUGUGCUUGAACUACCAUCAGUCUAUUCUGUAUUUUGCAUGUCUUUUUUCUUUUUCUUUCAUCACCUCUGUGAUCUUGACCUUUUGCUCCCCAUUGUAGUUUUCUCCCCUAACAGUUUUGCACUCUUUCACAUUUGAUGCUCUAUUGUUUGGACCAGUUUUAUCUUGUGUAUUACUAGUUGUUAUGUGCAGUUAUACCCCUCUCCACAAUUUCCGGCACCCAUAUUGCCAAAUAUUACAAUGAGAUGGAGUUGAAUCCUAGAUACAGAUAGAUACUCAUGCAUUUGUAUAAUUUAUAAGGAUAUAUUUUGUGUAUGGAAGUGGAGACCUGUUUUAUGAAAUAUGAUCUUUGGACGUGACUCUUCUCUCUGUGUAAAGUUACAUUUUGUUGUAAGAAAUUGCCAUACAUUUUUAUAGCAUCUGCCAUAAUCACCCCUCCUAGUCAAUUACCUGUCCACACCACAAAUGAAUUAUAAAAUGUGAUUGUAGUUUGAUUCCAUUUAUGUAAAUUUUCAAUAAAAUGAUGAUGAAAAAGUG